rnacentral:rRNA from 1 species
GACGUAGGAUGCAAACGUUAUCCGGAAUUAUUGGGCGUAAAGAGUUCGUAGACGAAUUGUUAAGUAGAUUGUUAAAGACUUGGGCUCAACCCAAGCAAGGCAACCUAAACUGGCUAAAUAGAGUUUGGCAGAGGCAAGUAGAAUUCUGUGUGUAGGGGUAAUAUCCGUAGAUAUACAGAGGAAUACCAAAAGCGAAGGCAGCUUGCUGGGCCAUUACUGACGUUCAAGAACGAAAGCGUGGGGAGCAAACAGG